GGAGAGUUGGCUGAGUGGUUAAAAGCGAGGGAUUGCUAAUCCCUUGAGCCGAUGAGGCUCGCACAGGUUCAAAUCCUGUACUCUCCG
rnacentral:tRNA from 1 species